rnacentral:lncRNA from 10 species
UCUUUCCUUUUUCUAGCCAUAAAUCUUCUUUGACCACACACGAUAGCACCGGAAUCUCUCUGAAGUGAAAACAGGUUCGGGGGGCUGCCCAAUCCACGAGUCAUUCUUUGUUCAAUGAAGAGCACAUCUCUUCAAGGAGAACUACAAACCACUGCUCAACGAAAUAAAAGAGGACACAAACAAAUGGAAGAACAUUUCAUGCUCAUGGACAGAAAGAAUCAAUAUCGUGAAAAUGGCCAUACUACCCUAGGUAAUUUAUAGAUUCAAUGCCAUCCCCAUCAAGCUACCAAUGACUUUCUUCACAGAAUAGGAAAAAACUACUUUAAAGUUCAUAUGGAAUCAAAAAAGAGCCCGCAUUGCCAAGAUAAUCCUAAGCCAAAAGAACAAAGCUGGAGGCAUCAUGCUACCUGACCUCGAACUAUACUACAAGGCUACAGUAACCAAAACAGCAUGGUACUGGUACCAAAACAGAGAUAUAGACCAAUGGAACUCAACAGAGCCCUCAGAAGUAAUACCACACAUCUACAACCAUCUCAUCUUUGACAAACCUGACAAAAACAAGAAAUGGGGAAAGGAUUCCCUAUUUAAUAAAUGGUGCUGGGAAAACUGGCUAGCCAUACGUAGAAAUCUAAAAUUGGAUGCCUUGCUUACACCUUAUACAAAAAUUAAUUCAAGAUGGCUUAAAGACUUAAAUGUUAGACCUAAAACCAUAAAAACCCUAGAAGAAAACCUAG